AUAAUCAUGUCCACUAGGAUAGGAUGUAGAGUCCUGUCUUAAAUGAUGAUGUGAAAUGCCAUGAUUAUAUGCAUGUGCAUUGAUGUUAUGAUAUGAUAUGUGAUGUAUGUGAUGCGGGUUCAUGUGUUUGCACAUGAACCACUUGAUGCUAAUGUUCGAUGUGAUGUGUGCUGUUUUCAGAAAACAGGAUGAGAGGAACUCGUUGAUCUGCACGAUUGACUGGAGUACCACCCCAGGACGAGGGCACUGAUGCCCGUCCUCCUGCAUUGCCUAGGGCAAUGUCAAGUAGGUCCAACAGAGAAAGAGCAGUAAGAGACCCUAGAAGGUCUUUGGAUCUGGGUAGAAGCAGAUCAGUAAGGGGAACAGUGCAGGGUGAUAUGUCAGAGGAUGUGGGGGAUCAGAUGGAUGUGGAUCAGAGGAGGGAUGGCAGUUUAGGAGUGAGUAUGUCGGAAGAGGGAAUGGGAGAGUCCCAAGGAGGCACUCAGGCCUCGGGAUUUGUUCAGCCACCUUUCUACCCACCCUUUUCACAUAAUCCCGGGUAUUCGAUGGGAGGUACAUCGGAUUACCCCAGUUUUA
rnacentral:lncRNA from 1 species